UCAUGUCACGUUGCAGGUCUGUGGAACACCCUGGGAGGGGGACAAAGGAUGACUUUCUGAUAAAGUUUGAGGCUAGAAAUAAUUAGAUUUACAGGCAAUGAACACAGUGACCAAAAUCACAUGAACCUGUAGGACCGGUUUGGGCAUCUCUGUGCAUGUAAGGUAAUCAGACAAGUGGGUAUGAGGAAGCAAAUGAACAAGAGGUGGCAAUGGCCUGAGAAGAUAUCUACUGUUGAGUGAAGAUAAAACUUUAAAGAGAAUUAUCUAAACAAAAUAUUAAUGUGAACAGGUAAUUAGAAAACUGGAACUGAAGAAUACCAGAGCAAGAGCUUUCCUGAGUGGGGAGCAUGUUUGCCAAAAGGAACUUAGGGGAAGGUCUCUAACAGUGGUAAAGAAAAAUCUCUUUCUCUCCUGAAAUAGCAAGUGGGUUGGAACUUGAGCCCUAGGGAAGGAUCCACAAAGUAUCUUUUGUGACAUGGAAACAUUUCCUUUCUGAAAUUAAAGUUGUGUAGUUUGGUUAGUUGCUAGAUUACAUUGUACAAAGUCAGUUCCUUAAACAACUUCUUUUUGUGUUUAUACCAUUUUCACUCUGUCCCUAGUAAACCUUUUUCAUCCACAGCAAAAUCUGCUCUCUUUGCACGGAAGAGUCACUGCAUUCCCACAGGGAAAAGGUGCCAGGUGACCUCAAGAAAAGGAAAACAAAUUUGGCUUUAGCAUGCAAGCCUACCAACUCAGUCAAUAAGGCACAGACAAAGACUCCUGUGGCCCAAGCUGUGUUUUAGGGAGACCCAUUGUAGAGAAGUGCUUGCAGUAAUGCCUCCAAAACCAAGGCAGAAACAGUAGUAGAUGACAGGGCCAUGUAAGACUUAUUCCUGUAGAGGUAGACUGGGAAAAAAAUAUCAACUUUCAGGUUAAGAAAUGUUUAUUUUUCUCCUAGUUCCUCAUUAAAUCCCCUGGACUAAUUAAUAUGGAUCAUUUCACUUACAUUGCAUGUUACCAAUGAAAAUGUUCUACAUGACAGUAAACAAAAGUUCUGCACACAGGAGUGGAAAAGCAAAAUAACAAAGUCCAGGCCAAGGAGUUUGUGUCUUAGAGUAAUAAAUGGUGAAGCAAGAAAAACUCUUCAAUUUCAGAAUAUUUUCUUAUAUUUUUAGAAAUGAUAAACAUGUUGUACUCUGCUGUACU